rnacentral:rRNA from 1 species
CGGAAUGCAAUCAGACGAGCCAUGCAUGCCCGCUCACCCGGGACGCGGCGGACGGCUCAGGACGACGGUUGCACCCCCCGCGGCGGUCCCUGCUAGCCGGACACCGCUGGCAACCCGGCGCCAAGACGUGCGCGCAAGGGCGGGCGCCCGCGGGCGAGCAGCGUGACGCAGCGACGGCCCGCCCGGGCUUCCGGGGCAUCACCCGGUCGGCGCGGUCGCGGCGCGCCGAGGGCCCGACGCCUGGCGGAGAAUAGGGGUUCGACUA